AAAUAUUUUGUCAAAAGGCCGGAAGUGUCGUGUAAAUCAAAUAAUAAUAUUUUACGUUAUUUGCCUCUUUGAACGAUACGAUUUUCGAGAUUUAAUAUCGCGUGUAUUUUGUAAUAUUUAUCUGGUGGCGAAAAUGCUUUGAAUAAAUAGUGAAUAAAAAAAGUACGAGAGUGUAUCGGGAGUGCCGAGCGAAAAAUAUAACGGGCGAUCGUUAAAAGUAAUAAAUAGUGUAUCGUGAUUAUCAUAUCCAUCUGUAUGAACACUCGAAGCAAGAAAGGAGCAAGAAGGAGCAAAGAAGCGGAAAGGAGCAAUGAAGCAGAAAAUAACAACAGCAAUGGCGUAUCAUGUUACGGUGCAACAUCAGCUGAUACAUUUUGUGGCGUUCAUUCACGGAUCGACGAUUCGAGAGAGAGGAUAAUGCGACUAGGCUCGUGUAUUUCGAUUAACUUUGCACGUGCUUGCAUCGUAAAAUUACGUCCGUGAUGGUCAAGAGAAGAAGCCGCUCGAUGCAACAGAUGCAUGUUUACGAUGCAUGAUUCGUCGCAGUUUAUCGGACCGCAUCAUCACGUUUGAGAAAAUAUUGGAUAAAAAUAUCGAAAAGUUGGAGGCCGCAAUAUGUAAAGACCCUACAUGAGAAAAGUAACCUUGAUGUCUGUGUCUUCCAUCUUUAACGCUGGGAUGAGGAUAGUCGAGAAACCUAAAGUUGAACCAAAGGUAAGCAGGAGUAAAUUUUUGGCACCGACUGCACAACAUUGUGGUACUGCUUGCCGAAGUUUGGAAAUGUACGCCACUUCGACCGGCAUCUUGUCAUCAUUCCUAAAGUACACAUAACAAAAGGAUGUGAAGCCCCAAUCAAUCUGCUGGCCUUCGCUGUAACUCUCAAGUUGCAAAAAAUCGACAGUUCCAUUCAAUUUAGCUGCUACUACUCUACUACCGACGAGUUUAACGGCAGAAAUUCCAAGGCCCGACCCAUCAUCGAAGAGACACUGCGAAUUAAGAAGGAAAAUGCGGGAGAUAGCUUUGCCUGAUACAUCGCCGAGGCUGGUGAGUAAAGUCCCAUCGAUUGCGCAGUUUCCAUUUCUCCUCUGGAAGGCGGCGAACCGCUCUCAUAAUCCG